rnacentral:lncRNA from 1 species
UGAUGUAGUGCACAAAUAGUGCCAGGAUGGUCAUGUGGUAGCACUCCAGCUUGGGAUGGAUUUGGACAUAGUCUCCCUUCUCACGAUGUCUGGUGAUUUAAAGAAGCUGCUGCAUAAACCCCCAGACUUCUUAUUGGAUUCAACUCUCAUUCCCCACCAGCUUUUUUUUUUUUUGGUACUGGGGAUCGAACUUGGGUCCUUGCACUUGCGCAGCAGGUGGUGAAACCACUGAGCUAAAUCCCCAGCCCAGCCCACCAGCUAUUUUUAAAAGCUAAUGAAAAUUAUGCCAUAAAGAAAACCAACUUCGAGAUGCCCAGUCACCCUGCUGCAGACAGGCAGCCACCUGGUUCCACACUACAAAGAUGCAGAGGACACCAGACCACCAGACCAAGAGCAUCUGUGAACUUCUCUGCAGAAGCGGUCUGGAAGAAUCUGUCCCCCGUAACAGAGCUUGGCCACCUCUCCCUCCUGUGUGUGAUGCCCAUGGACUGUUGGGUCACUCUCUUCUCAUGCUUGCAGAGCAGAUGCUUCCCAGAAGACUCUAGAGAGCAGAGCAUUCCUGGAGUUGCCCUUGAGAGAAACCCAAUCCCUCCAGGAAGUCUGGGGCGUGUGUGUCUCAGGAACAGGGACCCAGGACAAGAUGGCCAGAUUCUACAACAAAACAAAACAAAACAAAACAAAACAGG